rnacentral:lncRNA from 1 species
CUUAAAUAACUUGAGAAUUUGAAUAUGCACCCUAACAUGCAAGUAUUCUAGUGGGAGUGGCGUGGUAUUUAUAGUUUCGAAUAUGAAUAAUUCUGUUGAAGAGAACAAAUUCAAAAUUUGAUUAUGUGUCAUAAAAAAUAUUGCGAGAUACGCCUUCAUGUAUCUGUCUUUUUUUGCGGUGUAUUGCAUGUUGACUCCACUUUAAAUACUUUAACUUCAGGAUUGACGUGACAUUAAUCUGGUAAGGCUUCGAUGUAUAUAAUUAACAACCAUCAUCCUUCAGCUCACUAUACUUAAUUUCCACUCUAGCAUGUCAAGGACUUCUUGAAACUUCGUUCUUCAUGCACAUUCAACAGAUUAUGUCCGUUGAUCGUUCAUGCUGAAGCCUGUAUAUACGAAAAGCACACUCCCUAAAAAAUGCAUUACAAAUCUAUAAAAUUACAUCAACAAAUAUAUAAUUUUUAGGAUUUUAAAAUUAAUGAAGUAUAAUUUUAAGUAAAUUGUGUUAUUUAAAUUUAAAUGAAAAAUAUAAAAAUCAAAACUAAAAAAAUCAGGUCAGCUAUCAUGUCAUCCCACUGCAGCCUCCUUAACCCAAUGUGGUCCCCCCUCUAUCAGGUUAGCUAUCAGGUACCCUCACUGUGGAUACUCUAAGAUUUCUUAAAAUUCAUGUUGUCCCAUAUUAUGCAUUUUUUUAUUAGACAGAGAUUUUGUAUUGCAUAUACGAUCUUGUUAAUUAUACUGGCUGUUGUAACUUUAGCAUAAAGAAGUUUUCUAAAAUUGAAUUUGAUAAAAUUAUAUUUGAGUUGCACUGCAAUAUGAAUUUAAAAAGUUAAAUGAUCUAGUAAUUUUAUGUAUUGAAAUUGAGGUAUUAAAAACAUUUUAUUUUGAAAAUAUUAUUGGUGAUUUUUUUCUCGAAAUGCUACUACUAAUUAUUAUUUUUUAUUUUAAUAAUAUUAAAGUUAUACAGCCACGUGAGCAUGAAAGAUGAUUACGUGUCAUCUUUAGUUGACAACAAAAAUCUCCAACUUUAUUUUGUAAAGGAUUUUUUUCAUAACCUAGUGCUCCUAAAAUAUCAGGUCAGUUUAUGUAGCUAAUACUAGGGAUGUCAAUCGGGCCAGCCCACCGGGUUUUCAGGCUAGCCCUAUCGGGUUCUAGGUUAGUCGGGUGCAGGCUAAUCGGGUUGGAGAUUUUUUCGGGUUGUAAAUCUUCAACCCUAACCCUAAACUUUCGGGUUUCGGGCUAGCCCAUCGGGCUAAUCAGGUUAAAGGCGUAAAAAUAAAUUAUCAUUUAUAUUUUAUUAUUCCUAAUGAUCUAAUGUAUAAUGUAUAAAAUGCAAAAAUAUAAGAUAUUCAAGAUUACANCAUAAACAAAAUUAUAUUAAAAUGAGAUAGUAAAAUUUAACAUGUAUCAAUGCACUAGAAUCAAUCUGGAUUAUUACUGAAUAAUUAGUGGAUUUGCCAUGCACGUCUCAUUGACAGAAAAAAAUAAAUUUGGUAUCACUUUAAAAUGAGAUACUAAUAAUUAAUUUCUAACUAAUGAGAUACUAAUAAUCAAUUUCUACAAAAAAUUCGUAAUUAAUUUCACUUUUUUUAAUGAGAUUGCACGCACACACACAUGCACGCACACACACACACAUAUAUAUUCUAACUAAUUAAUUUCACUUUUUUUAUUGAGGCUAUAUACGCAUUUGAAUGAUUUACGAUGUUGUCCAAGACAUAUAUCUUUCCCUUGCGAAUGUCCACGCACAUAGCAUAGAAAAUCUUGUCUUUCAUAAUUGGGUAAAAAAAUAUUCAACAUUGUUCACACGAACAAUGAUUACAGUACCAACACAAUAAUAUUUAUCAUUGUUCACAUGAACAAUGAUUACACUACCAACAAAAUUAUAUGCAUAUUUGUUCACAUAAACAAUGAUGCCACUACCAACACAAUAAUAUGCACAUUUGUUCACAUGAACAAUAAUCAAACAUGUGUGCACACGAGCAAGUAGAAUGAACAACAGUGUUCACAUGAACAACAAAAUCCCAGAGUUCGUGGGAAACCACAAAAUUAUCUGAAAAAACUCGGCUGGAAACCAUUUUUUCAAUCCUCAAGAAAAAUAUGAAUUUGUCGGAAGUAAAUCAUCUUUGGCGAAGCCAUAUCAACAGAUCAAAAAUAUCAACACCCGUUCUCUUGUGACAAAUACAUAUAUUCAUCUAGGAUUUUAUAAAAUAAAGAUAUAAUGUUCAUAUCAACAAAUCUACGGUACAAUCCACCGGCAAAAAAAAAAAAAAAAAAAAAAAAACCCCAAUCCCAUGAAACAACCCACGCAUAUGAACAAUUAUACCUCCACAUCACCGGAUUUGAAACUUUUGUUCGAAAUAUUUGUUCAUCCAAACAUAGACGGUGAAAAAAAAACAAUGACGGAGAAAUUUCUCAAACCUUGUUCAAUCGCCGGAGAUUGUACCGAUUUAGAUGAAUAUCGGUACUCUGAGGAUGAAUCACCGGACCUUGGAGCUUGAACAAUCUUCCUCUUGGUCGUUAAUGGCGGACGAGAAAAACAAAAAGGUGAAAGGGCAAAUGGGCGGUGAAAAGACCCAAUACUUACCCAAGCAAUGAAUUUCUCCCUUUAGUCAAAGCUGUAAAAUCGGGAUUUGAUUAAAUCUACAAGAUCUAUCCUUUUUCAUUCACUAUUAUAAUUACCUAUUAACCCUUAUUCAAAUAAAUCGCUGCUUUUGAAUUUGGUAUGUUAUAUAAUUUUUAAUUUUCAUCUAU